rnacentral:rRNA from 1 species
AUUGAACGCUGGCGGAAUGCUUUACACAUGCAAGUCGAACGGUAGAGGGGCAACCCUUGAGGGUGGCGAACGGGUGAGUAAUGUAUCGGAACAUGCCCAGUCGUGGGGGAUAACGUAGCGAAAGUUACGCUAAUACCGCAUACGAUCUAUGGAUGAAAGCGGGGGAUCGCAAGACCUCGCGCGAUUGGAGUGGCCGAUAUCAGAUUAGGUAGUUGGUGGGGUAAAGGCCUACCAAGCCGACGAUCUGUAGCUGGUCUGAGAGGACGACCAGCCACACUGGGACUGAGACACGGCCCAGACUCCUACGGGAGGCAGCAGUGGGGAAUUUUGGACAAUGGGCGCAAGCCUGAUCCAGCCAUUCCGCGUGCAGGAAGAAGGCCUUCGGGUUGUAAACUGCUUUUGUACGGAACGAAACGCGCUGAGCUAAUACCUCGGCGUAAUGACGGUACCGUAAGAAUAAGCACCGGCUAACUACGUGCCAGCCGCCGCCGUAACAC